rnacentral:rRNA from 1 species
UACGUAGGGUGCAAGCGUUGUCCGGAAUUAUUGGGCGUAAAGAGCUCGUAGGCGGUCUGUCGCGUCGGAUGUGAAAACUCGGGGCUCAACCCCGAGCCUGCAUUCGAUACGGGCAGACUAGAGUUCGGUAGGGGAGACUGGAAUUCCUGGUGUAGCGGUGAAAUGCGCAGAUAUCAGGAGGAACACCGGUGGCGAAGGCGGGUCUCUGGGCCGACAUUGACGCUGAGGAGCGAAAGCCAGGGGAGCAAACAGG